rnacentral:rRNA from 1 species
GCUCAGUAACACGUAGUCAACAUGCCCAGGGGACGUGGAUAACCUCGGGAAACUGAGGAUAAACCGCGAUAGGCCAUGAUUUCUGGAAUGGUUCAUGGCCGAAAUCUAUAUGGCCCCUGGAUUGGACUGCGGCCGAUCAGGCUGUUGGUGAGGUAAUGGCCCACCAAACCUGUAACCGGUACGGGCUCUGAGAGGAGGAGCCCGGAGAUGGGCACUGAGACAAGGGCCCAGGCCCUAUGGGGCGCAGCAGGCGCGAAAUCUCUGCAAUAGGCGAAAGCUUGACAGAGUUACUCUGAGUGGUUCCCGUUAAGGGGAUCUUUUGGCACCUUUAAAAAUGGUGCAGAAUAAGGGGUGGGCAAGUCUGGUGUCAGCCGCCGCGGUAAUACCAGCACCCCGAG